rnacentral:miRNA from 1 species
UACAGUAGUGUGAUAACUGAAG